UGACCUCGGUUAGAUGGCGACGACCGGCGCACGGGUGAGUAACGCGUAUGCAACCUACCUUUAACAGGAGAAUAGCCCCGAGAAAUCGGGAUUAAUGCUCCAUAAGAUUAAUUUGUUACCUAACAGAUUACUUAAAGCUACGGCGGUUAAAGAUGGGCAUGCGUACCAUUAGCUAGUUGGUGAGGUAACGGCUCACCAAGGCAUUGAUGGUUAGGGGGUCUGAGAGGAUUAUCCCCCACACUGGUACUGAGACACGGACCAGACUCCUACGGGAGGCAGCAGUGAGGAAUAUUGGUCAAUGGGCGAGAGCCUGAACCAGCCAUGCCGCGUGCAGGAAGACAGUUCUAUGGAUUGUAAACUGCUUUUCUACAAGACGAACCAUAUUGAUUAUUCAGUAUCUGACUGUAUUGUAGGAAUAAGCAUCGGCUAACUCCGUGCCAGCAGCCGCGGUAAUACGGGGGAUGCAAGCGUUAUUCGGAUUUAUUGGGUUUAAAGGGUGCGUAGGCGGAGAGAUAAGUCAGUGGUGAAAUUUUGCAGCUUAACUGUAACAUUGCCAUUGAUACUGUUUUUCUUGAAUACAAUUGAGGUAGGCGGAAUGUGUAGUGUAGCGGUGAAAUGCUUAGAUAUUACACAGAACACCGAUUGCGAAGGCAGCUUACUAAAUUGUGAUUGACGCUGAGGCACGAAAGCGUGGGGAGCGAACAGGAUUAGAUACCCUGGUAG
rnacentral:rRNA from 1 species